UACGGGGGGAGCAAGCGUUGUUCGGAUUUACUGGCGUAAAGGGCGCGUAGGCGGCGUGACAAGUCACUUGUGAAAUCUCCGGGCUUAACCCGGAGCGGCCAAGUGAUACUGUCGUGCUAGAGUGCGGAAGGGGCUACUGGAAUUCUCGGUGUAGCGGUGAAAUGCGUAGAUAUCGAGAGGAACACCUGCGGCGAAGGCGGGUAGCUGGGCCGACACUGACGCUGAUGCGCGAAAGCCAGGGAGCGAACGGG
rnacentral:rRNA from 1 species